rnacentral:misc_RNA from 1 species
GUAGGUGAACCUGCGGAGGGAUCAUUAACACGUUUCUACAAACGUUUCCAACCAAUUCGUGAGCAUUACCAACCCUCGCAACCUUUGGAUGCAGGUAGCUGGUACUGGUGCCUCUAGGGGUGCUGGUCCUACUACUUUGCUGGUUGUUUGAUUUUUUUGUUAUUAAACCCUUUCCAAUUUUACCAUACGGUUUAUAGUACUGUGUAGAGCUGUCAUGUACAUGCUUCUACUCAAUCAUAAAUCAAUGUAAAGCACAACUCUUAGCAACGGAUAUCUUGGUUCUC